rnacentral:lncRNA from 1 species
AGUUUCCAGGCCAGAAUUGUCCUCCUCCUCCUCUUUCUCGCCUUCUGUUUUGUUGUGUGUAUGUUUUUGAACUGCCUGUGGCGGUUCCUGGAGCCUACAAUUUUCAAAAAACUGUCUCGGACUUGGAUUCAUCGUGAGCAAGUCCACGGAAGCCACCUUGCUGUUGCAGAAUUGUUACUCCCAAUGCCAUUUGAAUUUCAAUUUAGGGUUUUGAGAGUCGAGCCCAAUUAGCAACUCAGUG